GAUGAACGUUGGCGGUGUGCCUAAUACAUGCAAGUCGAACGGAGUUAAUAGCAAUAUUGACUUAGUGGCGAACGGGUGGAGUAACGCGUUGGUGAUCUGCCUUGAAGUGUGGAAUAACGCUCCGAAAGGAGCGCUAAUACCGCAUGUGCUCUCAAUUUUUAGAAAGUUGAGAGGAAAGGAUUUAUUCGCUUCGAGAGGAGCCUGCGUCCCAUCAGCUGGUUGGUAGGGUAAAGGCCUACCAAGGCAAUGACGGGUAGGGGACCUGAGAGGGUGGACCCCCCCACAAUGGAACUGAAACACGGUCCAUACACCUACGGGUGGCAGCAGUAGGGAAUAUUAGAAAUGGACGAAAGUCUGAUCUAGCAACACCGCGUGUGCGAAGAAGGCCUUCGGGUCGUAAAGCACUUUUUGGAAGGAAUAGGAAGGAAUGUACUUCCAGAAUAAGUCUCGGCUAACUACGUG
rnacentral:rRNA from 1 species